GCUGGCGGCGUGCUUAACACAUGCAAGUCGAACGAGAACGGUCCUUCGGGAUGUCAGCUAAGUGGCGGACGGGUGAGUAAUGUAUAGUUAAUCUGCCCU
rnacentral:rRNA from 1 species